rnacentral:rRNA from 1 species
UAUUUUGACUAUACAAAGGUAUUGAAAUAAGAUUUUAAUUGAAUGCUAAGAGAAUGGAAAUACAGGGAAAAACUUUUUUUAAAUUAAAAAUUGAAAUUUUUUUAAUUUGUGCAGAAACAAUUAUUAAUAUUAAGGACAAGAAGACCCUAUGAAUUUAUUAAAUUUUAUUUAAUAUGUAAUUACUAUUAGAAAAAUUUUGGCUGGGGCGGCUAAAAAAUAUUUUAAACUUUUUAAAAAUAAAAUGAUCCAUUAUUAAUGAUUAUAUGUUAAAUA